CGGCGCGGUUCCGAGCGGUCGCUCCCUCGCGAGGUGCCGCGGGUCAGCGGCUGACGCCAGCCACCUUCCCGACCCGUCUUGAAACACGGACCAAGGAGUCUAACAUGUGCGCGAGCCGCGGGGCAGUACGAAACCCGUAAGGCGAAAUGAAGGUGAACGCCGGCGCGGUCCGGCGGAGGUUGGAUCCCGUCCCGUCGGGGCGGGCGCACUACCGGCCGAUCUUCUCCGCCCUGUCGGCGAGGUCGAGCGAGAGCGUGCAAGUCGGGACCCGAAAGAUGGUGAACUAUGCCUGAGGAGGUUGAAGCCAGAGGAAACUCUGGUGGAGGACCGUAGCGAUUCUGACGUGCAAAUCGAUCGUCAAAUUUGGGUAUAGGGGCAAAAGACUAAUCGAACCGUCUAGUAGCUGGUUCCCUUCGAAGUUUCCCUCAGGAUAGCUGGCGCUCUGUCGCAGUUUUAUCUGGUAAAGCGAAUGAUUAGAGGUCUUGGGGGCGAAACGCCCUCAACCUAUUCUCAAACUUUAAAUUGGUAAGAAGCCCGACUCGCUCGUUUGGAGCCGGGCAUGGAAUGCGAGUGCCAAGUGGGCCACUCUUGGUAAGCAGGACUGGCGAUGCGGGAUGAACCGAACGCCGGGUUAAGGCGCCCGACGCGACGCUCAUCAGAGCCCACAAAAGGUGUUGGUUGAUAUAGACAGCAGGACGGUGGCCAUGGAAGUCGGAAACCGCUAAGGAGUGUGUAACAACUCACCUGCCGAAUCAAUCAGCCCUGAAAAUGGAUGGCGCUGG
rnacentral:ncRNA from 1 species